rnacentral:tRNA from 1 species
GCGGGGGUAGCCAAGCGGUCAAAGGCGCUGGCCUAAGGAGCCAGUCUCUUAGUGAGUUCGCAGGUUCGAAUCCUGCCUCCCGCA